GAUGAACGCAGGCGGCGUGCCUAAUACAUGCAAGUCGAGCGAACAGACGAGGAGCUUGCUCCUCUGACGUUAGCGGCGGACGUGUGAGGAACACGUGGAUAACCUACCUAUAAGACUGGGAUAACUUCGGGAAACCGGAGCUAAUACCGGAUAAUAUAUUGAACCGCAUGGUUCAAUAGUGAAAGACGGUUUUGCUGUCACUUAUAGAUGGAUCCGCGCCGCAUUAGCUAGUUGGUAAGGUAACGGCUUACCAAGGCAACGAUGCGUAGCCGACCUGAGAGGGUGAUCGGCCACACUGGAACUGAGACACGGUCCAGACUCCUACGGGAGGCAGCAGUAGGGAAUCUUCCGCAAUGGGCGAAAGCCUGACGGCGCAACGCCGCGUGAGUGAUGAAGGUCUUCGGAUCGUAAAACUCUGUUAUUAGGGAAGAACAAAUGUGUAAGUAACUAUGCACGUAUUGACGGUACCUAAUCAGAAAGCCACGGCUAACUACGUG
rnacentral:rRNA from 1 species